UACGUAGGGUCGCAAGCGUUGUCCGGAAUUAUUGGGCGUAAAGGAGCUCGUGAGCGGUUUGUCGCGUCUGCUGUGAAAACUCGGGGCUUAACCCCGGGCCUGCAGUGGGUACGGGCAGACUAGAGUGCGGUAGGGGAGACUGGAAUUCCUGGUGUAGCGGUGAAAUGCGCAGAUAUCAGGAGGAACACCGGUGGCGAAGGCGGGUCUCUGGGCCAUUACUGACGCUGAGGAGCGAAAGCGUGGGGAGCGAACAGG
rnacentral:rRNA from 1 species